rnacentral:rRNA from 1 species
GAUGAACGCUGGCGGCGUGCCUAAUACAUGCAAGUCGAGCGAACAGACGAGGAGCUUGCUCCCCUGACGUUAGCGGCGGACGGGUGAGUAACACGUGGAUAACCUACCUAUAAGACUGGGAUAACUUCGGGGAACCGGAGCUAAUACCGGAUAAUAUAUUGAACCGCAUGGUUCAAUAGUGAAAGACGGUUUUGCUGUCACUUAUAGAUGGAUCCGCGCCGCAUUAGCUAGUUGGUAAGGUAACGGCUUACCAAGGCAACGAUGCGUAGCCGACCUGAGAGGGUGAUCGGCCACACUGGAACUGAGACACGGUCCAGACUCCUACGGGAGGCAGCAGUAGGGAAUCUUCCGCAAUGGGCGAAAGCCUGACGGAGCAACGCCGCGUGAGUGAUGAAGGUCUUCGGAUCGUAAAACUCUGUUAUUAGGGAAGAACAAAUGUGUAAGUAACUAUGCACGUCUUGACGGUACCUAAUCAGAAAGCCACGGCUAACUACGUG